rnacentral:snRNA from 1 species
UUUCUUUAUGUAAACAUUGUC